rnacentral:tRNA from 1 species
GGGGCUAUAGCUCAGCUGGAUAGAGCGGCAGAUUCCUAAUCUGCAGGCCUUGGGUUCGAAUCCCAAUAGUCCCACCA